UUAAGUCCCAUAACGAGCGCAACCCUACCCUUUAGUUGCCAUCAGGUAAUGCUGGGGACGUCUAAAGGAACUGCCUACGCAAGUAGUGAGGAAGCGGGGAUGACGUCAAAUCAGCACGGCCCUUACGUCCAGGGCUACACACGUGCUACAAUGGCCGAUACAGAGGGCAGCUACCUGGUGACAGGAUGCAAAUCUCCAAAGUCGGUCUCAGUUCGGAUCGGAGUCUGCAACCCGACUCCGUGAAGUUGGAUUCGCUAGUAAUCGCGCAUCAGCCAUGGCGCGGUGAAUACGUUCCCGGGCCUU
rnacentral:rRNA from 1 species